rfam:Oceanospirillum multiglobuliferum strain ATCC 33336 NODE_16_length_62382_cov_731.912, whole genome shotgun sequence.
UAGGUUAGCUGUAAAUAUGCACGGUUAACCUGAAUCUUAUUUAUUUGCAUAUUCACUAGGAGAUAUAUCAUGGCUCUAUCUGCAGCAGAAAAAGCAGCAAUCGUUAAAGACUAUCAGCGUGGCGAA